UCUUCCAUAGCUCAGUCGGGAGAGCGACGGACUGUUAAUCCGCAGGUCCCUGGUUCGAGCCCAGGUGGAAGAGCCA
rnacentral:tRNA from 1 species